rnacentral:rRNA from 1 species
CAGUCGCCACGGGAAUACGUAGGUGGCAAGCGUUGUCCGGAAUUAUUGGGCGUAAAGCGCGCGCAGGUGGUUUAAUAAGUCUGAUGUGAAAGCCCACGGCUCAACCGUGGAGGGUCAUUGGAAACUGUUAAACUUGAGUGCAGGAGAGAAAAGUGGAAUUCCUAGCGUAGCGGUGAAAUGCGUAGAGAUUAGGAGGAACACUAGUGGCGAAGGCGGCUUUUUGGCCUGUAACUGACACUGAGGCGCGAAAGCGUGGGGAGCAAACAGGAUUAGAUACCCGCGUAGUCCCUGUCUCUUAUAC